AGCAAAUAAAUUGGAACGAAAUAAAAUAAAAACUAACAAAAUAUAAAAGGCGGAACAACAAAAAAAUCAGGGGAGGGCAGCGGGGCUGCUGUCAAGUUCUUCCCCCUCUUCUCUCCGGAGCCUCGACGACGGGAGGGAAAAAACGAUACCCCCCCAGAAAAAAAUAAUCCGAACCACCCCCGAGAAACACCAAGCGCAAUAACAGCGAGCACCCCCCGGAAGGGCCGUGCGGAGCGGCCCGGGAGCCGGCGGAGCUGCGGGCUCUGCGGCAGCGGGCGCGGCGGGAGGGGUGCAUGAACCCCCCCCUGCAGCCGGCAGCCCCGGUGCCUCGCUGUGCUCCGCCGCCGCCGCGCCGCCACUCUCAUGCUGUCCCCAUCGCCAGCUUUGUCCCCCGCCUUAGUAAUUCGCGCAUCCUUAUUCAGAUUUGGUGACGCCGAGGGCAGCGUCACCCGGGAUGCGGCCAAUGGGAGAGCGGUAACCAUGGCAACCUCUUAAUUUAUAGCAUAUCUAAAUUGGCUCCAGCCUUGUGCUUGGCACAGAGGGAAAAAAACAACGCGCCUCUAUUGUUGAGGGUGGCUUGUACCUGGGCCGCGAAGGUAAUGCGUGGAGAAGCAGCGUCGCUUAUACAAGAUGUUGAUGGAAUUUACUAUAUUAUUAAAGGAAAAAAAAAAUCCCCUU